GACGAACGCUGGCGGCGCGCCUAACACAUGCAAGUCGAACGGAAAACAUAGCAAUAUGUUUUUAGUGGCGAACGGGUGAGUAACGCGUAGACAACCAACCUUGUAAUGGGGGACAACACUUCGAAAGGAGUGCUAAUACCGCAUAAUCUCCAGGUGUCGCAUGGUAUUUGGAGGAAAGGAGCUCUCAAGGCUCCGUUAUAAGACGGGUCUGCGUCUGAUUAGCUAGUUGGAGGGGUAACGGCCCACCAAGGCGACGAUCAGUAGCCGGUCUGAGAGGAUGAACGGCCGCGAUGGGGAUGAGACACGGCCCAGACUCCUACGGGAGGCAGCAGUGGGGAAUCGUCCGCGAUGGACGAAGGUCUGACAGAGCGACGCCGCGUGAGUGAUGAAGGCCCUUGGGUCGUAAAGCUCUGUCAUUGGGGACGAACGGUCGCAUCAGGAAAUGGGUGCGAAGUGACGGUACCCAAGAAGGAAUCCACGGCUAACUACGUGCCAGCCGCCGCUGUAAAA
rnacentral:rRNA from 1 species